rnacentral:rRNA from 1 species
GACGAACGCUGGCGGCGUGCUUAACACAUGCAAGUCGAACGGAAAGGCCCUGCUUUUGUGCGGUGCUCGAGUGGCGAACGGGUGAGUAACACGUGAGUAACCUGCCCUUGCCUUUGGGAUAACCUCAGGAAACUGGGGCUAAUACCGGAUAGGAGCUCCUGCCGCAUGGUGGGGGUUGGAAAGUUUCGGCGGUUGGGGGUGGACUCGCGGCUUAUCAGCUUGUUGGUGGGGUAGUGGCUUACCAAGGCUUUGACGGGUAGCCGGGCUGAGAGGGUCACCGGCCACACUGGGACGGGGAUACGGCCCAGACUCCUACGGGAGGGAGCGGAGGGGAAUAUUGCACAAUGGGCGGGAGCCUGAUGCAGCAACGCCGCGUGCGGGAUGACGGCAUUCGGGUUGUAAACCGCUUUCGCCUGAGACGAAGCGAGAGUGACGGUAAUGGGUGAAGAAGCACCGGCUAACUACGUG